CCAUUAAUAGUAUAAAAAGUGUAAAAAGCUGCGGAUGAUCCGCUAUUGGUCAUGCACCCCGUCGUCCACAUGCGGAUUCCGAACGGUAUUAAAUUGAAAAUACAUAAUAAAUCAUGAUGAGCGUGGUGGCGUAUUUG
ensembl:ncRNA K02E11.13 ncRNA